GUAUGUAUUUGAAGAGAAAGAGCUUGCUAGGGGUGGUUCUAGCAAUGAGAAAGAGAAGGUGGUAGAUUGAAGGCCUUGAAGAAGCCUUUAUCAUUUUUAUUGCUUUGGGGAAAGAUUGUUGAUUUGAGGAAACUAGAAGCCUAGCUUAAUUUAGGACAUCACACAAUCAUCAAGACUGUCAAGAGUAUGAAAGUGGCAUUUUUUUUUAUUUGUGGCAUGUACUAGUGUAUCUACAUAGCAAAUAUCUUGGUCCUUGUGUUGAACGUUGUUUAAAUUUAAGCUUGCAAGCUUCACUUGUUAUUUCAUCAUCUUAUCUUUCUUUUGGUAAAUCAAUGAUAUGAAUGGUUACUUACCUUUGGAGAUUAUAA